GCUGGAAUGAAUUGUUUGCUGGCCUUUUCUGAGAUUCCCAAGGGCUUACACGCCCCGCCCCACCCAGACCCUCACUUACUGUAGCUGUCCCCUCCAAGCGCCAGCCCGUGGGACGUCUCUUCCCCACACGGGAUGCAUGCAGAUCUGCUGGCCCGGUUUCUGCUCAGGAUGGCGUCUUCCUCUUGUGGGGAUCUACUUACAUUCUGCUCUGAAGCCCAGAAAAGGCUUCUCUCAAGGAACGAAUCUCUACGGAGGGAUGGGGAGUAGGGUGGAGAGGACUCAGGCAUCACCCCAGCAGGUGCAAGACUUCAGGUGUCCUCACCCGCAGCACUUCCUUCGCCGAGGAGGAGGUCGGCUAGCCUCUCUGGCCGGUGCAGGGAUGAGGCGUGAAGGAGACGGAAGAGGGGAAAGCAGCAUGACAGAGGCGGAUGGUGCAGACCUCAGACUGCCCAGUGGAAUUCUGUGCCCUUGGUACUUUCUGGGGGCGGAGGAGCCCGCCGUAGCCUGGAUGUGGCCCGUGGUCUGGAAGCAGGAGAGACUUCCUUGCUUAUUCUCUCAUCGUUUUGCCUCCUUCCUCUCAUCUGAGUCCACUUCCAAAUCUUGUGGUUUUCCCCAUUGGUAUGUUUGCUCCUCUCCACUCCUGCCGACCCCUCUCUUCACCUCCCUCAUCUGCCUCUGGGCAGAGUUCCCCUGGCACAGACUCUGCCCUUGGGCUGCACACACAUCAGCCUGGUCUUCCUUGAAGUGUGUGCGUGCGCGUGUGCGUGUGCGUGUGCGUGUGUGACUACCCAGAUCUUUCACAGGAGGACUUGCAGUACUUCAUCUUCCCCCUCUAACGUCUGGGAGUUGACAGACCCGAUUACGCUCACAACCACCAGAGGGCGCAGCGAUUCCGGAGUGCGUGGCCGGCUCACACCGUCUUGGAAACAGGCAACGUUUGAAUCUAAGAAGUGCAGAGCGGAAUGUGGUAGCUUCGGUCACCGUUUGUGACCACUUCAUCUCCUUUGUUCCAAAUGCAGUCAAAGUCUGCUCUAACAAAACUCAGGGUCACAUGAUUUCGGUUAUGCCUGGGCCUCAUUCCAGCCCUUCAACUAUGUGCAGGCACAUAGCGUUCGGGAAAGGUUUUCAGAAAUGGGCAUUCUGGUGGGGUCUCCUUUAUAAUGACAAGAUGGCCAUUUGGCCACAGCACAAAGCAGGGCUGAGGAAAACGGGGUAUGGGCUAGGGCUCUUCUGGGCGGGGCUCCUAAACAUGGGGCUCUGCCCCGGGCUCCGAUGUUAUUUACCACGUGAAUCCGUGACUUAGUAAUAAAGAGAGUGGGUGUUCAUGGAGCACCUACUAUGCCAGCAAAUUUGCCUGGCACGUGAUAAAUAUUAUCUCUCAUCCUCGUGAUAAACUUGCAAGACAGGUAUUCUCAUUUGACAGAUAUAAAAGUUGAUGCGCAGUGAUGGUGAAUGAUGCGCCCAGAGUUACACAGCCUGCCAGGGGUGGAGCGACGAAUCCAUCUCCAGGUGUGCUGAACUACAAGCUGGGUGAUUUUCCGUUACUUGUACUUUUCUCCCCAUUUGAUGUUUCGGUCUCUGUCCAUCUUUCAUGAUAAAAUUCACACCAAUCUUCCUGUUUUAUUCAGGCUAGGCUACCUGUUGUAACAAAUAGUCCCAAACUCUCAGUGGCUCAACAAGAUAAAAAUCUUUACUGCUCAGGUCCAAGUCCACUGCAAGUCAGACAGGGGCGUCUCUCCACACAGCCAGUCAGGGACCGGGCAUCUCCCAUCCGAAGGAGCUGCUGUCUUCAGAAUGCGGCCUCGGAGGUCUCCACAGGUCAGUCAAGCGAUGGAGGGUCACACCAAGAGCUCUGUGUGCACCAGACCUGGACGCAGCCCACGCCACUUUCCAUUUGUCUGAAUGAGAUCAGUUGGUCCCAAUCGAACUUCAGGGGGGCUGGGACAUGCGGUUUAGUCCUGUGCCCGCAAAGAAGAGAAAAUGGGUACUGUGAGCACUGCCUCUCUGACCUCCCCCUCUCUCACAAGACUGUACUGAGGAUGAAAUGAAACAAACUCUGUCAGGGUGCUUUACCCAGACGAGAGAUUACGAUGCCUUACAGCUGGAAGGAAGGGGCUGGGAGAGAGAGAUCGCAGCUGGGGGUGUAUGUUCAGGAGUCUUCUGAACUCAUGUAAGUCUUUCACCCUCUGCCUCACAUGUUUAUUUCCAGCAUUCAUUCAUUCAUUCACUCGCUCAUUCAUUCAUUCCCCAACAAAUCGUUCGAUGCCUUGAGUACUGUGCCACAUGUUGGUGUAUGUGAUAGGUGUGAUGUUUUAGCCUGAAGAAAAUCCUCUUCUGGAGCUGGUGUUGGUGUUAGGAAGGAGGAGUUGCCACCUGCUCCGAAGUGGAAGUGGUCUCAUGUAAUUGACCUGCCCCACGUGGCUGGCUGGGCUAUAUGAUGAGGGUCUUUGCUUCAAGGAUCGGUCAGCAUUGGUCUUUUUGCUGGCAGGUUGGACCAUCAGCAAUCACAGCCUGGGAAAAGGGAGCCCCUGUUUUUGGACUUUUGUGUAACCCACAUCCUUGUCACUUUGACCCCUCUGUUCACAGACACACUGAGCAAAUGCUGCGGUAUUUGAGGAGAGAGGUUGGGUGACAGGCUGAGGAUGGGCCAUCCUGUCCAGCUGCUGGCGGACAGCCCCAGGAGAGAUCCCUAUGGACCAAGAAACCCUGACUGCCACUCCAGCGUGCUGCCUAUUAAAGAGAGAGAGAGACAGCGAGAGAGGGAACACAAGCAGAGAAGUGUGAGAGGAAGAAGCAGGCUCCCCGCUGAGCAGAGAGCCCGAUGCGGGGCUCGAUCCCAGGACCCUGGGAUCACGACCUGAGCUGAAGGCAGACGCUUAACCGACUGAGCCACCCAGGAGCCUCUUAACUGUGUCUUCUAGAAAGCAGAGCUUUAGCCGAGGAUUCAAGUGCUGAUGUGAUAUUUGCAAAUUGCAAGACCUUUGAGAUGAGGGUGAAGAAGAAUGGAAAGUGAGUCAAAGGAACACGUGAAGCUACGCAGCAUGUUACUGGGCUGGCCAUUGCUCCGCAACAAGCCCCCAAAAGCCACGCAACUCAAUUGGCGGGCAUGCUCAUGCUGCACAUUGGAUUUUCUCUGAAAGAAUUUCAAGGAGAAACGAGUCCUCAGAGUAGUCCACAGAAGGGGGAAAUGAGAAAUUUGUCAUGUGGCUCCCUGUCACCUUCCAUUUCCUAGCGGAUGCUCAGCCCCCUGUGUCACCUGAUCUGCCUCCACGGCAGUGGCUCAGAGGGCCAGAUGCCAUGCUCUGACCGUGGCGUGUUAUCCAAGUCUAGACCUCAGUAUGGUACACAGUACCAGCUGGCCACGUGGCCUGGGGCGUAGCCAGGGUUCCUGCCCCCUGGGGGAGGUUGUUAAAAGCAGUGGCAGGAUCAUGGUUCAGGAGACAAGCAGAACCUUGGGCAGGAAGCCAGAAAGGCAAUCCAGAGAGGCACCAGGUCAGGGUCAGCUACACUGUGUUUCAGGAAAAGGGGGACAAAUCAGGUGCACGUCACUCAAGAAUUCUUACCUUGGAGAUAAUUUCAUCAGAUACAGUUUUGUUACUUUCAAGGGCUCUACACAUUAUAAAGGAAAGCUUAAGUGUGUGAACGUCGUCCAUGAAAGCAUCCAGGUGUGCCGAGUUUCAUGCCAUAGCCCUGCUCCUGACAGAAAGGAAGAACUCCGUGUUUCAGGGAGCCUGGCCAGAUGGACUUUUCACUCACUGAAGAUAAAGCCAGUGGCUCCCAGAUAUUGUAUGUUCUCAAAUGAAGUUGAAGGGCUUGCGUUUUUCUCACGAGAUGGCUCCCGGCUGGCAGCUGUGGGCUGGGCUUUAGGGAGCCGGGACAGUGAAGGAAAACCAGACUGAAGCUGUCACCGAUUUCUGAUGACCUCAGGACAUGCCAAUGACAAAAUGCUGAUGAAUUAAGCUGAUUUUGCUCAACAGUGCCAAACUUUUAGGGUUAAUGGGAUUCAUUUCCUCACAGAGGGAGUCACACCUUGAGAUUUGAUUGACAACCACCGGUGAACAGUGUGAUGUUAACCUGAAAUACUCUCAGAGCCUUGCUACUUUAAUAAGAGUCACGUAUCGCUCUCUGAGCACCUGCUAGCACACUGAGGUCUAUUUCAGACUUGGAAGCCCAAUUCUACCUAUAACUGAAGCAUACAAACAACACAGAAGUACUGGACGUCUUCCAAAGGCCCAUUUCUUAUAGGCAGGCCUUCAAUAAGCUUUAAUCUGCUGAUGUGAAGUCGGAAAGUCAGGGAGAUUUUGAGGACCUCAACCCUAACCGCUGGGCAAGUUGAUGGGCGCUGGCCUCCCGUGCCUUCUCUUUCCCCGCCGCCUCCGCAGGUCCCCGUCCCGCGGUCCUUAAUCGCAGCGAGCUCACGGUGGCCGGCUGCCUGCUCCGCGCUGUGCAUGUCACCACAUGACACGCUAUCACAGCUGCGUCAUGGCCAGCUGUUCUAACCCCCAUCUUACAGCGGAGAAGAUGCAGGAGCGCGAGUCCAAAAUUGCUCGUAGCAGGGGCGGAGCCAAGACCCACCACCCAGCCCACCGGCUGAGCCACUGCUCAGUACCAGCUCUUAGGACGCAUGCCAACUCCACCGCAAAGGCCUUCCUGACCCUCAACAGAAGCCAGUGCUGGACCCACGCGUGCAGGCCUGCUGAAAGAGGGCGAACAGGUCCCAGCCCGGCUUCACCCUGAUCACUGCCAUGUCCUCUUACCCCUUCCUUCGUCAGUGGAGCAGAGGUAGGGUUUUCCAGAAGGGGAGGCUGAUACGGAGUUUGAGGGGCAGAGGAAGAUGUUGAACAGUGAUGCGGACCCAGCAAAGCCUCGGGCAACCUAGCCCUGAAGUGAGCAGGCCCAGUUACACCCCCGCCUCUUCUUGUCUAAGCCCCAGGGGAGGAGGCUCCCUGGAGCUGAGGCCGACCCAGAAGAGCUGACCUGGAGGCCGUCUCCAGCCCUCACUGCACACACCUGGGCAGCGGGUCCUUCCUCAGAGGGACCUAGGAGCCACAUCUCCGUGUGCACCUCACUCUGUCACAGGAUGCCAUUGCCCAGUGACCAGCUGGCUCCUGCCUCUACUCUCCCAGGAUCAAGGCUCUCACUUCCCACUGAGGCAGCCCACCUCCAUUUCACAAGGUUCUACAUUCUCCUCUCCUGGGCCCAAAGCUAAAACAGCUGUGUGUUGAACUUGCCGUGUACCACACACACUGAUCAGACGCCUGACGCUCCUCAGCGAACAGAAGACAUGAGCGAGCCUGCACUAUGGACUUCACUCUACUGGGGACAGAUCAUGAAAACAAAUGUCAUAAAUCCUGGAGGAGGAUCCUGUAAAGACCCACCUAAAAGGAAGGAGGGACAGAAAAGCACAAGGGAAACGAGCCAAGGGUAUAUCCUGAGCAGCCCUCUUGAGCCCCAAGAGCAUGAGUGGAAAGAAGCAAGAAGACCAGCAAAAUGAAGAAAUGACAACCUACAGUUUAAAGUAAGAAUGGAGGCAGAAGUACUUCCAACAUUAUGUAGAAGAACUAGAAAUCCAUGGCUUUCCAGGGCCAUUCAGUAUGGUAGAGCCCCUCACACCUCUGAAACUUGAGUCUGCCAGGGCUUUGCAGCUGAGCCCACGGAUGCUCAGGAAAAGGCCUUGCUAUCCUUAAAAGCGGGUGGAGUUACAGUGAGCAUUUUUUAUUUUAAAAACAUGUAUGCAAGGGGUGCCUUGGUGGCUCAGUCGGUUGAGUAUCUGACUCUUGGUUUCAGCUCAGGUCAUGAUCUCGGGGUGGUAAGAUUGAGCCCCAUGUUGGACUCCACACUGAAGGUGGCGCCUGCUUAAGAUUCUCUCUCUCCCUCUCCUCUACCACCCACCCAUGCUCUCUUUUUAAAAUGAAUACAUACAUCUUUAAAAAACAUAAAAAAUAUAAAACAUGUAUGCAAUAUGUUUUAGAAAGUUUUCUUUCCAAUGUAUAUAAUAAUAUGUAUAUAUUUUAAGUUCCAAUUGUGGGAGAGUUAAGCUUUAAAUUUCUAGACACCUGCUUGUGUGGCAUACCACAAAAAUGAGAGGCUAUUGUAGUUUUGACAGUCUGUAGACAAUAUUUAAAGCUCUAGAUAAUUGCAGAGAGAAGUAUUUGGAGAGCAUGAGCUGUGUCUUCAUUUCUUUUGGUAACCGGUGCUCCUUGGUUGAGACGCACAUUGGAUUGUUGGUAAAUUUGUGUUGAAGGGCUGUGUAUGGCUUGGGGAAGGAUCCAAAGUGAACCUGGUGGGUGGCCUUGUAAAUUCUACCUUCAUUUAAAGUUGGUUUUCUUGAAAAACUCAUAGAAAUAUAAAAGAAAUCUCAAAACAUUAAGAAGUAUGGCUUGCUUUGUGUUCUUCUAAAAAUUACUAAAUUGUUUCCAUUAAAUGUUAAUUCUAACAAAAUAGCAUUGAGUGAAUGAAUGAAAAAGGUAAAAAAAGGAGACAGCAACUCUGUCGGUAAUCGCCGUCUCCGAUUCCUCACCUUUAACAUGAGUGUUUUAAACUGUAUGGUGCAUUCCAACUUCAAAUUCUAUGACUCUGGUAAUA